rnacentral:rRNA from 1 species
CCUACGGGAGGCAGCAGUGGGGAAUAUUGGACAAUGGGCGAAAGCCUGAUCCAGCAAUUCCGCGUGUGUGAAGAAGGCCUUCGGGUUGUAAAGCACUUUAGUGGGGGAAGAAACAGCUUGGCCACACCAAGCCUUGACGGUACCCCAAGAAUAAGCACCGGCUAACUCUGUGCCAGCAGCCGCGGUAAUACAGAGGGUGCAAGCGUUAAUCGGAUUUACUGGGCGUAAAGGGUGCGUAGGUGGCUAUUUAAGUCGGAUGUGAAAGCCCGGGGCUCAACCUCGGAAUUGCAUUCGAUACUGAGUGGCUAGAGUUCGGUAGAGGGCGGCGGAAUUUCCGGUGUAGCGGUGAAAUGCGUAGAUAUCGGAAGGAACAUCAAUGGCGAAGGCAGCCGCCUGGGCCUGGACUGACACUGAGGCACGAAAGCGUGGGUAGCAAACAGGAUUAGAUACCCUGGUAGUCCACGCCGUAAACGAUGAGAACUUGACGUUGGUUCGUUUUACGAAUCGGUGUCGCAGCUACGACGAUAAGUUACUCCGUCCGUCGGGUAGGUACGGCCGGCCGAACGGUUAGGUAAACGUAACGAAAGGAAAGUUAGACGGCGUGAGACGUCGCCGAACGGACGACGACGAGGGAGGUAGG